GUUUUUGCGCUAGGGGCAAUGACGCAGCUAGAGAAGUUAUACCAAGGCGCGUCAAUUGCUGACUGAAAACUGUUUCCAAGCACCCUUCUUCGGUCAUGUAUUUAUACUUUAUUUGUAGGAUCAGAGUGUAUGGCACUCUGUACAAA